rnacentral:rRNA from 1 species
UACGAAGGGGGGCGAGCGUUGUUCGGAUUUACUGGGCGUAAAGAGCGCGUAGGCGGCCAGAUAAGUCCGGUGUGAAAGUCACAGGCUCAACCUGUGAAUGCCGCAGGAAACCAUCUGGCUAGAGUCCGGAAGAGGAGAGUGGAAUUCCUGGUGUAGCGGUGAAAUGCGCAGAUAUCAGGAAGAACACCAAUGGCGAAGGCAGCUCUCUGGGACGGUACUGACGCUGAGACGCGAAAGCGUGGGGAGCGAACAGG